UUUUUGUCUUUUUCAUCAUACUCUUCCCCUUUUGUUUUUUUUUUUUUUUUUUGAGAUAGGUAGCACGCUACCCGCUUCGUUUAUUUUAUUUAGAAAUAAACUUAGUUGAAAAUGUGAAUCAACUAGGAUUCGAACUUGGUUCUCUGGUACCAACCACCAAGCCCUUUGCCACUUGCUCUAGGGAUGGUCGAGUCCUAGCGGAAGCCUAUCCAGGGACAC
rnacentral:lncRNA from 1 species